UACGUAGGGGGCAAGCGUUUUCCGGAAUUAUUGGGCGUAAAGAGCGCGUAGGCGGUCCGAUAAGUCGGCUGUGAAAGUCAUGGGCUCAACCCAUGAAAGCCGGCCGAUACUGUCGGACUAGAGUCCGGAAGAGGCGAGUGGAAUUCCCGGUGUAGCGGUGAAAUGCGCAGAUAUCAGGAAGAACACCCGUGGCGAAAGCGGCUCUCUGGAACGGUACUGACGCUGAGACGCGAAAGCGUGGGGAGCGAACAGG
rnacentral:rRNA from 1 species